GGAGCUCUCUUCCAGUCUUCACCUCUGUGGGCUUUGUAGAGAGAUGGGUGACAAGAGACAGAAUUUGCCUCUGACUCUUCAGUUCUUACUCUCCAAAAGACACACAUUGCAUCAACCAUGUGACACAGAGUCAGGCCCAAGGGACAUGAGAAAUUAAAAGGGACAAUGAUGGAGCCAGGAUGGGCAGCAAGCAGGACUGAGAGAUAGUAUGUCUGAAGGGACAGGGGAGCAAGCAGGAGUUGGAAAGGGAGCUGCAGAGAGGAGGAGCAGCUGGGACCUUGCUUCUGCCUCCCUAGAUCUGAUUGUAGAAUAAAAAGGGGAGCUAGGUCUGUGACUGAAGGAGGUGGGGAGGAGCGGAGGAAAGGAGGUGAUGGAGAGAUGGGAGAAGGAGCUUCCUGGAGGGAGGCAGGGACUCAGCAACAGCUUAGGUAAUUGGCUAACUAGAGUCUCUUGCUGCCGUCAGGAGGAGCGAGGGCUGAAGGCACAGACUGCAAGAUAGAUGCACUGUGUUCCACCGGCACAUCCAUGCCUGUAUGCCUGAAGAGCCGGCAGGGCUGCUACUUCAGGACAUGUUCUGCUCAGCUGGCUACUGGCUGCAGUAUGGUGAGAAGAACAUAUGCAGAGCUCAGAAAACUUGGAGAGGUGCACCCAGAAAAGAAUCUGGAAGAGAAGAGACUCAAAACCUCACUGUGCGUACACAGCGCAGCGCUCUGCCUGACUUCUCUUCCUGACCCAGAGACCUGGCCAGUUGAGUGUGCAGAUGCUUUUGCAUACUUAGUCUAAGGCGGAGAAAGCCUCUCCUCACAGCAAGGCCAAGGUGGAGCCACAGGGGUGGCAGUGAAGAGGAGAGCAGCAUUCUGGGAAGAAAUAGGGAAGAAAGAAGGAAGAGAAUGCUGGAGAAUCGGUGUUCACCAUGACCGUGUGGCUGGGGACCUCUGGCCUCCAUUCUGGAAGCACGCAAGUCUAUCUCCAGAUGUAGACUUGUGCCUUAAACACCAUCUUACUCUAGGCCUCAGACACUUCACACCCUUAAUGAUCCGUAGCAUGGGAAUGACACCUCCUGACUGCCACUUGCUAUGAAGGACACUGCCUGAGAGACUGUGUCUUCUCUGGGGUGGCAGGGGCAUUCAGACUGUGAUCAGGAGUGGGGACUCUCAGGACUUCACCUAGGUUUAAAUACUGUCAUCACUUGCCAGUUCUGUGACCUUGGGGGUAUUGCUUGCUUAUCCUGAGCCUGUUCCCUCAUCUGUAAAAUGGGGAUAAUAAUAAGCCUGCCUGCUGUUGUGUGCUGCGGAGAUGGAAUGGGGGACAAGUCUCCACAUGUUGCUUGUUCCAGAAAAAAACAAACAAAAAACAAAAAAAUUCCCCCAAACCCCCCCCCACUUGCUGUGAUUCUCUCAUACUGGAGUACUACUUGCAUCUUUUGGCAAAACCACCCUUGGGUAGUUUCCAGUGCUGUGAUUUGUCCCCAGCAUGUGAGGCUUAUGGGAAUCAAGCUUCUGAGUCCCUUGUGGCCAUAUCUCUUUCUCUCUGGUGUUCUCAUCCUGCAUCCCAGACUAAUGGAAUCAUUAUUAAUGUUCCCUAAUUCCAGAGCC